GUAAAUAACUAGGGGCCCAAUUGACUGAGAAGAACCCUUUGAACCUAAGAUGGGUAAUGCCAGCGAAGGAAAGUGAAUCGUGUAAUGC
rnacentral:ncRNA from 1 species